GCCGACAUAGCUCAGCGGUAGAGCAGUUGGCUGUUAACCAAUUGGUCACAGGUUCAAUCCCUGUUGUCGGCGCCA
rnacentral:tRNA from 3 species